GACGAACGCUGGCGGCGUGCUUAACACAUGCAAGUCGAGCGGUAAGGCCCUUUCGGGGGUACACGAGCGGCGAACGGGUGAGUAACACGUGGGUGACCUGCCCUCAGCUCUGGGAUAAGCCUGGGAAACCGGGUCUAAUACUGGAUAUGACUCCAUGACGCAUGUUGUGGGGUGGAAAGCCUUGUGCGGCUGGAGGAGUCGGGCCCGCGGCCUAUCAGUCUUUGGUUGGGUGGGGUGA
rnacentral:rRNA from 1 species